rnacentral:rRNA from 1 species
GCCUCUCGCGUCAGGAUAUGCCUAGGUGGGAUUAGCUAGUUGGUGAGGUAAGGGCUCACCAAGGCGACGAUCCCUAGCUGGUCUGAGAGGAUGAUCAGCCACACUGGAACUGAGACACGGUCCAGACUCCUACGGGAGGCAGCAGUGGGGAAUAUUGCACAAUGGGCGCAAGCCUGAUGCAGCCAUGCCGCGUGUGUGAAGAAGGCCUUCGGGUUGUAAAGCACUUUCAGUCGUGAGGAAGGUAGUGUAGUUAAUAGCUGCAUUAUUUGACGUUAGCGACAGAAGAAGCACCGGCUAACUCCGUGCCAGCAGCCGCGGUAAUACGGAGGGUGCGAGCGUUAAUCGGAAUUACUGGGCGUAAAGCGCAUGCAGGUGGUUUGUUAAGUCAGAUGUGAAAGCCCGGGGCUCAACCUCGGAAUUGCAUUUGAAACUGGCAGACUAGAGUACUGUAGAGGGGGGUAGAAUUUCAGGUGUAGCGGUGAAAUGCGUAGAGAUCUGAAGGAAUACCGGUGGCGAAGGCGGCCCCCUGGACAGAUACUGACACUCAGAUGCGAAAGCGUGGGGAGCAAACAGGAUUAGAUACCCUGGUAGUCCACGCCGUAAACGAUGUCUACUUGGAGGUUGUGGCCUUGAGCCGUGGCUUUCGGAGCUAACGCGUUAAGUAGACCGCCUGGGGAGUACGGUCGCAAGAUUAAAACUCAAAUGAAUUGACGGGGGCCCGCACAAGCGGUGGAGCAUGUGGUUUAAUUCGAUGCAACGCGAAGAACCUUACCUACUCUUGACAUCCAGAGAACUUUCCAGAGAUGGAUUGGUGCCUUCGGGAACUCUGAGACAGGUGCUGCAUGGCUGUCGUCAGCUCGUGUUGUGAAAUGUUGGGUUAAGUCCCGCAACGAGCGCAACCCUUAUCCUUGUUUGCCAGCGAGUAAUGUCGGGAACUCCAGGGAGACUGCCGGUGAUAAACCGGAGGAAGGUGGGGACGACGUCAAGUCAUCAUGGCCCUUACGAGUAGGGCUACACACGUGCUACAAUGGCGCAUACAGAGGGCGGCCAACUUGCGAAAGUGAGCGAAUCCCAAAAAGUGCGUCGUAGUCCGGAUUGGAGUCUGCAACUCGACUCCAUGAAGUCGGAAUCGCUAGUAAUCGUGGAUCAGAAUGCCACGGUGAAUACGUUCCCGGGCCUUGUACACACCGCCCGUCACACCAUGGGAGUGGGCUGCAAAAGAAGUAGGUAGUUUAACCUUCGGGGGGACGCUUACCACUUUGUGGUUCAUGACUGGGGGUGAAGUCGUA